rnacentral:rRNA from 1 species
CAUGUCCUUUUGAUUAUUAUUUAAGGUCUAAUCUGCUCAAUGAGGAGUUAAAUUGCCGCGGUAUUUUGACCGUGCGAAGGUAGCAUAAUAAUUAGUUUUUUUAUUGAAAGCUGGAAUGAAUGAUUGGACGAGAAAACAACUGUCUCUGUAAUAUUUUUAUUGAAUUUAACUUUUAAGUAAAAAGGCUUAAAUGUUUCUAAAAGACGAGAAGACCCUAUAGAGUUUUACAUUUUAUUUAUAAUUAGUUUUUGGUAUUUAUUGUUUUUAUAAUUUAAUUUGUUUGGUUGGGGUGACUAGAAGAUUAGAAAAACUCUUCUAAUAUAUUGUUACUUAUUAGUAAAUAAAAAAUCUGGAGUUUUCAAGUUUAAUAUAAAUUACCUUAGGGAUAACAGCGUAAUUUCUCUUUAGAGUUCUUAUUGGAAGGGGAGUUUGCGACCUCGAUGUUGGAUUAAAAUUAAUGUUGGGUGCAGUAGCUCAAUUAUUAGGUCUGUUCGACCUUUAAAAUUUUACAUGAUCUGAGU